UGAUGAUAUUAGCAGCCAGCCUAGUACGUCUUCAGCUUAGGCUUGUAUUACUGAGUAUUGAAAUGUGUCUCCUAACUCUUCUGAUCAGGUGUGCUGCUCAUCUAUAAGUGAAUGAGAUCACACAUGGGCAGCUGUAAGGACCAGUGUGCCCAGGCUACCCAGGUCGGUCCUUCAUACAGUUCAUCAGACGCUACUUAUGCCUGGAGCUACUGGGCUAGAAGUGCCCUCAGGAAAAGAGAUGCUGUAGCUGGAAUUAAUCACUUCUCUAUAUACCAGAGCACUGGCAUCCUGAAUUUGUUACAUCAAAGGAUAUUGACUGAGAAGACAAAUAAUUAAAUGACCCGUAACACAGCUUCCCUCAGGCUGGAAAGACUUAUUGAGAAGGUUUCUGGAAGUCAGGAGCAUCCCUUGCCAUGGAACAGGGCAUACAGAAGCCUUCGACUCAGAGUUUGCUACACUUCACCAUGUGCACUCCCCUCUCCCAGUCCCUCGCCUCUAUUGAAAUGGCAGAUCUGAGCAUUGGCUUUUGGGCUGGCACAGGAACUGCUCCUUCAUGCUCUACUCACAAUGCUGUGACAAAAUACGGAAUGUGAGAUGGUUGGUUGCUGCCAUGGGGACUGCACACCUUGUGGCACGUACUUCCCCCGUCCUCGGCUGGAGCGUGAGGAGUUGCUGUUCUUGCCGCAUCGGUACAAUGGACGUCUCUCACUGAGCUGGUGUCCACGCUGUGUGAAUGAGGAAUGAUCAAGUAAGAUUGUAGGAAAAAGUUGAAUAUGGGACAGGUAGAAAAUAUAAAGCAAACAUAUAUUCUGCAUACCUAGCUGCCUGUUCCCGUCACCGGAAAGAAUGCUGCCAAGGAAGCGGAACUAUCCUUCAUGACAGUGCUUGUAGUUAAUGUCUUUCAAUUUGCUAAAUAUUGAAAAGCUGACUCCGUGCUAUGACUUCAUCUGUUGCAAAUUAGCAUCAUUUGCUAACUUGAAAAUGGUGAAGAUCUGAUGAGCAGCUUCUUCAGUGAAUUAUAACCUGCCAAGUCAUGUGCUGUGGUGGGCUGGGUAUCCUAAUAAAAGAGUUUAUCUAUUUAAAUCUGCUUGGCUGUUCAGGCAUCAUGGCUAUAUCUACAACUAAAUCAGAUACAGAGGAAAAGUGAAAAUUAACCACUUUGGGCUAGGAAAAAUUAGAAAAAUAACUUUGCACUGAGACACAUACCUGCACCUAUGUCCAGGGACAGUCACACACGAAUCAGAAGACAGAAUUUUACACAUCAGUGACUGUUGCCGCAAGCGACGGAGUUUUGGGCACACUUCAAAAUCACCCUGGUGCUUCUGAGUGGACCAAAAGGCCAGUGCAAAAACCAUCGAAGAUACUACCUUUUCCUAGCAGUUUUCAUAAGGCAUUGGGGUUUAUAACUUAUAUAACUACUACACUGAAGGUUUGUGUGCCGUGGAACCCAAACACUUCCUAAGUGUCUAGGUUCAGUAGGGCAUAGGCUGGCUUUUAGCUAUAUUUCAUCUCUUCCUAUCAAGAAGGACAGGGAAUGACCUAACUCCACCCGAGUGCCAUAUCCAUCAGACAUGCUUUGUUAAUAGCAUGGACUGCACUGAACACAGUGACGAGUCCACCUUUCCUCAACACUGGGUCACUGGAAGAGGGAGCAGUCCUGUCACAGAGCAAAGUAGUGGCUGGAGUGCUCAACCAAGAAGUGGGUCUCGGCCAUCCGAAGUAAUUUUAGCUCAAAGUUCUGAUUAGAAACAAGACUGGCAUAGUGCUUUCCUCUCUUGUCACUGGAAGUUUAUCAUUAAAGAAUUCAGAAAGAAUAAAUAUGAGGGAAACUGACUCUGUAUCCUCAAGAUGAGCUCGUGAUCUCUGAGGCUGGGCUGUGUCCCAGCCCAUGUUGUGAAAGAAGUGACCUGUUUGCUUUGGCACUCUGAAGCUUGAUCUGAACCGUGCAGUAUAUCCCUGCUCCAUCAGUCUCCGAGGUCUAGAGUGGGGAUCUUUGCUGGAGCAUGCUAUGGCGCUCCUCUGGCCACAUCUUUCACCUUCUUCCCAGAGCAUGGGGUUAGAAUGUCAUUGAUCCUUAGGUUCUUCAUUGUCAGAGUCAGGCACUGAGACCUGCUCUUUGGAGGUGUAAGGAGCUUAAGCUGUUUUAGAUACGCAUAUCUGCCCUGAAGCUUCUUCUCUUGCUGUUGCAGUAUUUCAUUAGGUACUUAUAAUGGCCAAUCUGAAUAGAAUCCCUAGCAAAAGGGGGGGAAAAAAGCGCCUUAAACUAAGGAUUAUAAAUAUAUUUUCUUACUCCUGUUUAGCAUUUUUUAUGGCCUGACUGACCUUUCUUAUUGAAUAAAAGUCUUUUAUAUUGAUUUAGCAGAGCAAUCGAUUAGAAGGGCUCACACAAUCUAUGCCAUUGACUCAGCUCCACUAGAGAAACGCAUACUUAAGCAGUGGAAAUGAAUAGGUUGAUAACUUCUAAUCUGCCGAAGAUAUCUGCUUAUCAGGUUUCUGUUUUCUGAAGGCAGGAAUAGUAACUCAUUCCCUAGCCACCGUCACGCUGGAUAAAAAGGUUUUUUUAUCAACUUCAGAUCCAGUCGAUAUAUCUCUUGCAAACUUGCCUCUUGUUCGUGUUCUCAAACGACACCACUAUGGUGCACAAAAUUAUUUUCCAAAAGAGUGACUUCUGGGAAGAUCAAGUGGGAGAUGCUUUUUGGAAGCUAGGAUCAACUUGGCUAUCUUUUUGUAAGUUAGUUUGAAGCUAUACUGUGAAAAGCAUCCUUUUGGAAAAUUUAAUUUUUGUUUUGAUAAAGACUUAGUUAAUUUUUUUAAUAAGAUGGCUUGAUCAGGCUUAAAAAGUACUUGUCAGGCAAAGGCAGAAAUUAGCUGGACUGUGGGGCAGAUCUUCCAUCUGAUUUCAUUUGGGAAUUCCAUUUUAUGUAUUUACCCUAUGUGAUGUAGUAAAUUGGAUUUGCCCCAAAAGCUGUAGGUUAGAACUCUUAAAAAUACAUAUAUGUGGUCGGGCCCUGUAAGCCACACUUUUCAGUUUAUUUUUGGAAACCUGUCUCCAGUUUUGUGAACACAUCAACUCCAAUAAAAAAGCCUGAACAGUGUCUCCAUAUUCCUACGUAAAUCAGAAAACUAAGCCUCUAAAUUCUAUCAUUUGGUUGCCUACGGUAGCUA